rnacentral:lncRNA from 1 species
CAAAAGGCAUCCAUAUUAGUUAGAGUGGGGUAAUUCUAUAUAAAUGGUUUGUUCUCAAGCCUUCUGGCCAAUGUGGGACAAAGGAAUUCUAACACUCCCCCGCACGUAAGACCCCAUUUUAUAGGUCACACGUGAAGUUCCACACAUCGGCAACCACGUGGAGCCAAGCCGGGGCUCACCUGUUCACGCUGGGCCAAUGCACGUGGCAUCUCUUGGCUUACGUGGAGCCAAGUCGGGGCUCACCCAUUUGCGCAGGGCCAAAGGGGACCCACCCGUUCACGUGGAUGUAUGGACCCGUCCCCUGGCUCUGAUACCAUCUU